ensembl:misc_RNA Metazoa_SRP Metazoan signal recognition particle RNA
GCCGGGUGUGGUGGUGCACGCCUGUAAUCCCAGCUACUCAGGAGGCUGAGGCAGGAGAAUCGCUUGAACCCAGGAGGCAGAGGUUGCAGUGAGCCGAGAUCUUGCCACUGUACUCCAUCCUGGGCAACAGAGCGAGACUCCGUCUCAA